rnacentral:rRNA from 1 species
ACGGCGCACGGGUGAGUAACACGUGGAUCAUCUACCCUAUGGUGGGGAAUAACCUUGGGAAACCGAGGCUAAUACCGCAUAAGUUCGAGAGAAGAAAGCCGCAAGGCGCCAUUGGAGGAGUCCGCGGCCGAUUAGCUAGUUGGUGAGGUAAGAGCUCACCAAGGCGACGAUCGGUAGCCGGCCUGAGAGGGCACACGGCCACACUGGCACUGAAACACGGGCCAG